rnacentral:sRNA from 1 species
UGAGAAGCUUCGACUAAGGUUCGAUUCGAGCGCAGCGAGAAAGCGUUGCCGCAGGCAACGACCCGAAGGGCGAAGCGCGCAGCGCUGAGUAAUCCUUCCCCCAUCACCA